GUUGGGGGCAUGAGAUCUGGGGUGGGUUGCCUUUCAUAGGCGUGAGAGCAUAGAGGAGUAUUUCCUCCUCUUUGGUGAGAGUUCAGCCUUGGCGCUGAAUAGUAUUGGAGAGAGAGUUUCAGAUCAGAUCUAAGUGAUUCUCUACCAUUCCUCCAUCCUCCAAAGACCUCUAUCAACUUAUCUUCAAUCUCAAAAAGGUCCAAGGUGAUUGAAAAAAAAGAUCCAAUCAGAUCAGCUACUAGAAACGAUUUUCGCGAGCUAGCACUCGUGGAGAUAGC
rnacentral:lncRNA from 1 species